rnacentral:tRNA from 1 species
GGGCCCAUGGUCUAGUGGCUACGCAAAAAUGACAUGACCAUUUUUGGUCGUGGCUUUGCGCCACAUAUGAUGGCGAGGAUCGCCGGUUCAAGUCCGGCUGGGCCCA